GGGAUACAUUUUAAGGGAAGGGGAGUUUAAAAAAGUGAAUGCUUUUAUUCUAAGUAUACCUUUUAUUCUAUAUUCUGUAUUACCUUUUGGAGAACGUUACAUCACUCAGAAAAAUAAAGUAACUCCCAAUAUGUAUCUAUUUAGGAUUAAUAUUUUUAAAUAGUUUUGGUUUGAAAAUGUAUUCAUUCACUCAAAAGUAGGUACAGCUUUAGACCUAGACUUUGAGUUGUCCGUUUGUGAUGGUCUUUUAAAUUGUGGUUUUAAUAAGGAGAAAGACGUGUGACAGUGUCCUGUGACUGCUGCUGUCCACGUUUAUGAAAACAGUAUGUCCUCAGAGUGAUGUGGGGUUGGUGAGAAGUUCUUCUGAUUCUGCGGCCUCAGUGAGUUUAAGAGAAGUUUCUUAUGUAGUCUUAGCUUUUCCGUACCAGCUUUCUUUCAUCAACCUUUCCUAACAAUAAAGAAGAAGAAAAUAGCAACAGUUUUAUUUCCCCUGGUUUACCUUUCUUAUUUCUGUGACUACAUGACACCAAAGUAACUGGUUGGGAAACCAAUUCAGAUGACCAGUUGCUAGUUUUCACAACUUCUGAUCAAACUCUCAGUUGGACUGACAUUUAUUACCAGUGAAAAGACUGAAUAUUUGGAUUCCUGUGGAGUCAGCCUUUGUCUCUUCCCAUUUUCCACAGUUCUCCAAUUUUUCCCUCUUACUACCCAGUUUCCUCCAAUUGUUUCCUACUGCGUUUAGGGGAAUUUCUUCCUUAUGGUUCUGAAUCUUUGGAAUUACAAGAGACAUGAGAACAGGGCUUCUCAUCGAGGUUAUGUUUUCCCAUGUCCACUAUUAAAUAGUUUUUUCUAUCAUGAAAGCAAACAUAGGAAGAAACCAACAUAUCUGAGAUCCAUAAAGGUGAACCCCUACCCCCUUUUUUCAAAACUUCAUUUUGUGCAGAAAGGCAACAUUAAAAACUUUUCCUCCAUAUAUUCUGUCUACGAAAGCUCUAUAAAGAUGAGAAAUAUGAUAUAGUUAUGCAGCUCUUCUAUGUUAGGGACAUAGCAUGUGCAUGUCGGCAUUUAGCUGCUGUCAGUAUUUUCGCUGCAGGGAUAUUCAGCAGGAACGAGAAUCAGCACCCAGAACCUGGUUGCCACAACACAAGGAUACACUGUUCUUCUCAGUCCUAGAGAUGUCGACUUGCCUUGCAUCCAGCUUUUCUUAGGUGUGGCCAGUGGUGGCUUGUUAGCGGGCCUGAUACCUGAUGUUCUGAUCAGUCUGUCUGAAACUGUCUUCUUCCUUCUAUAUUAGGAGAAGAUACAUUUUGAAUGUUUCAUCAGUAAUCAAAUAACCAACAUGUGGGAUAUACAGGACAUAAGGGAACUAACAAUCAAACACCAGUUACUGAAUACUCCAUGACACCCGUGGAAUGCGGCCAGGAAACGUGAAGCGUAUGACGGAUAGUACGCAAAAGAGAAAUAACUGAGAAGUCACAGAGUUAAGGCAAGUUUUAAGUCUCCUUUAAAUGCCUUGGAGCAAAACAGGCCAAUUACAGCUUUUGUUUGAAUGAAUCCAUCCAGUAGGAACUUCUGUCAAUAUGCAGGGAAAUCUACAUCAUUGCUACUCAAAGUGUGGUCCACAGACCAGCAGCAUCAGCAUCAGCAUCACCGAAGACCUUUUUAGAAAUAUAGACUCUUGGGGCCCAUUCCACACCUACUGAAUCAGAAGUUGCAUUUUAGCAAGGUCUGCAGGUAAUUGAGAAACACUGAUUUAGGUCAUGGUUAGAAUUAAGACUACUUUAUCUGUUUUAGUUCAGCUGCUUCAGGUUUUGAAUGCUGGAGUCCUUCCUCCUUGCCUCCCCCGCCCCCUUCUUGUUCUUCAUUUUCAUGAAACAUUUGGGAGAACAUUGCUAAAGAAAAAAGUUUCAAAUUUUUUUGAGACAACAGAAGAAAAAGAGCACCACUUUAUAACUUUGUCCAACUCCAAAUUGAGAUUCAAUGAAAGGGAAAAUAUAAAAUAGCUCCAGUCGUUUGCAUACAAUAUAUGGCUUGAACUUUGUUCUGUAUAAGGCUUUGUCUCCAAAUAAAACAAUUGUAUGAAAAACCCCACUAACUUCAUCUUCUUUAAUUUUCUGUGGUCUCUCCGUCCCUUCCAGCUGUGAAAUGCCUAUUUUCUUUUCCUCAGUCUCUUUCUCUCAUGCCUCCCCUCGCUCGCCCCCUCUUCCAGCUGGUAACAGUUUAUGAAGCAUGUUGCAGUGUUAAUACCGUGUUAAGGUGCUUUCAGCUGUUGGGUCUUUGAGACGUCAACGUCAGGACUGUUUUACUGUGAACGCUUGGCGGGUAGGGUAAAUCUGGGGACAUGCUGAACUUCUAGCUCCUCACCCUGUAGGAAGCCUUACAGCUAUAGGCACCUCUCCCAUAAUGCAGUGUUGCUGGCUGGAAAUAUUCAUCGUCCAGAUCUCCAGCUGUGAGGAGAGAAAGAGGCCUAAUUUGGAAUAAUUUCCUGGGAGUGAGAGCAGGUCCAUCCAUGUUGCUGCAAAUGGCAAGAUUUCAUUCUUUUUAAUGGGUCAUGAAACAUAUGGCCUAUAAAAUCAUUCCCAUUGGGAAAGAAUGGCAGAAAAGUCAUCCUCCUUUGAAGAUAAGUUUAAUUAAAAAGUAAAUUCCAGGGGCUGGCCUGGUGGUGAAGCACGUUCCGCUUCAGCAGCCUGGGGUUCGCCGGUUUGGAUCCCAGGUGCUGACCUAUACACCGCUUGUCAAGCCAUGCCGUGGCAGGCGUCCCACAUGUAAAGAAGAGGAAGAUGGGCAUGGAUGUUAGCUCAGGGCCAGUCUUCCUCAGCAAAAAGAGGAGGAUUAGUGGCAGAUGUUAGCUCAGGGCUAAUCUUCCUCAAAAAAAAAAAAAAAAAAAGUAAAUUCCAUCCUCUCAACAUCACAUCAGUGAUUGCUGCACAAUAACAUUGUUCAUAGCAAAAUUCCUGAUUGUUACUCAUUUUGUUUUUUAAAGCAAAUGCUGUCAUUGAGGAUUAAAAAUGUUUUUUUCAAUUAUACAAAUACAAAAAUGUUUAUUUUUAACUCAUCUAUAACAUUUUACAUGUACUUUUAAAUAGUUGUUUAAAAUAGUUGGAAAUAGGAUUUCUAAAUUAAUCAUUGUUUUAAAUAGUUUGGAUUAAGAUUUCUGAAUACUGGAUCUCCUGUGAAAUGAGGGAGUGGAGGGCAGAAUGUUUAUAAUAAAGUGCUUUACAUACUAAUCAUCUAGAAUGGGAUAGAAUAAACUGUUUCAAAUAUCCUUCCAGUUGUAAUGAUAGGAUGUUUUUAGGUAAAUUUACAGAAUUUGUUUUAUUUUACAAAUUGAUUGGUGUAUUCAUCAUUCACAGAUUUAUUAGUGAAAGCUGGAUUCUAAAUGACUUUCCUAUGAUAAGCUUUCCAAUUAAUUCUUCUCACACUGUUUUCCUGGUGACACUUGAACUUCCUUCAUUAUAUAAAACACAUCUGGAGUGAGACAUUGCUGAAUAAUAAUCAUGGAUGCUAACGUGUUAAGUAUUGGACCCCUGACAUAGUCAAAUGUGUUCUGGUUUAAAACAAUGACCUCAACUAAUGCUGCUUUAAGCGAACCACAUUUAGCAAGAAUAUAUAGGCAUGUCUGUUGAGCUCGCCUGUCUUGCGCUAGAAUUGGUCAAAAAGAGAGAAAUCAAAUUGCAAACUGUCUCCUUUGUGUAAUAGAGUUGGCUAUAUUAAGUCAUAUUUUUCCUCUCAUCAGCAAAUAUUUUUUCUUCUCUCUUGUCUUAUAUGAAAAAUAUUGCAAUAAGUAAAUAUUAAAAAAGGAUUAUCUAAAACAUAUGUUAAAUUAUGUAUUACUUAAAAUUUACAUUUGUAUCAUAGGGUUACUGAAUUUUUUCUGUGGUGUAUUUCAUAAAAGAGAAGAUGCUGAUAAGAUCUUGUUUAAAUGGCUUGCUAAUACAAGAAGCAGAUCAUUUAAAAUGAAACUUACAUCUUUAUAGGAUGUUAGAAAUGAAGACAUUACUUCAAAAUGUAGGUAAUUAUUGCCUCCUCUUUUAUCAGUGCUAUUUUCUGAGGUAUUAUCAUAAGAGAGCACUUUAGUAUUAAACACAGCCUUCGAGUGGCUAUAAAUCAGGCCAACUGAGUCAUCAUUGUCUAAGGCAUCUGAACUACUGCAAUGUUGUGGAUCCUACCGAGAGUGUGAAAUCACUUGACCCUUGGCAUUAACCUUCGCUGAAUGAAUAGACACUGCUUUCCACAUUGAGGAACAAAGCAGAAGACUAUUGAUUAAACACCACAUUCACUUGAUAUUAAAUACCGGCUGAACUCACUUCUUGCUUCCAGUUCCAGAGGGAGAAACCCAGAGAGUUGCUGAGUCUCAGGAGAAUGGAUGUUUGUAAUUCAGAGCAAUGUUUUUCCUGCAAAGUACUUUUUUUCUCCUUUGAUCAAUACCUAGCAGCCAUGAUCAGCCAUGAGUAUGUAUUGUCAAUUCUGACCUGUGUAUUUUAUCACUUAAGGUGAGAGGUCACAGUGCUGUGACUAAUAUUUCAGUUCUCAGCAUGAAUUGUUUCCUGACUUCAAUAUCUGUGUGAAGCAGCCAUUUCUUUCAUUUCAUUUCUUGUUUAUGAAUCAUUUUUUUUGACAGUUGAUUUGCCUGCAUUAAUAAAACACAUUAUUUAAAACAAAUUUUUUUAAUCACUGUUUUUGCAGAUGGUGAAUUUUCUAGAACUUGACAUUAUUAGAAGAAAUCAUAAUCACAGGACGUUUUAUGAUUUAUGGUUUAUGUUAUUUGGGAAAGAGAAACAUAGUUCAAUAAAUUUCUCAAGUUAGAAGAAAGCAAAAGCUUUGGAAGAGAGUACAGUGAUGCUUAUGAGUGUAAAGGGAACAAUAAAAGAUAUUUUACAGGAAGUCUUAAGCUAAUUGUCCUCUGAUCCACUGCUUGUACCUACACUAUUGACAACAGUUUGACAGCUUCUUGGUAGACUUACUUUAUCCAGAAGGUGAACAUUUAUUGUUGACAUAUAAAUUAAUUCAAUUCAUAGAACUAGAAUUAAGUUUAAAAUUUUAGCCACAAACAAGAAAAGCAUUUACACCUUAAAUUUAAAUAGUUUCUAUGUGCUUAUAAACUGGAAUUACUUUAUUGCAGGAAGCAACAGAAAUAGCUACAAUUUCUUUCUUCUCUCUCAAAGUUUUCAUAUUAUUUUGGAACAAAUAAUUACAUAUUAUCUGGCCUGGAUAUUGCACGAGUAAAACUCUUUAUAAAUAAUUGUUUUCCUUGCUAUAGGUUUUGACUGGCUUGUGUUCAACACUGAGGAUUCUAGAUCAGCUCGUUGUGAGUUUGUCAUGGUUAAGCAAAGAUCAUUACUUGUCUGAAUAAUCGAAAAUAUUUCCUCUAAGGACAUAAUGGUGUAAUUUAAUACACACGAUCUCACACAGUUUGCACGAUGUUAGAAAAGGAAUAUU
rnacentral:lncRNA from 1 species